GGUUAUGUAAACACAGACAAGGAUACUGGUGAUGAAGACACAUCAGUGUUACCUGUACAUCAGGGUAGGUUUGCACCUACCUUCUUUUAAACUUUUAUCUGCUUUGAGAUGUUUUUCUAUACUUAUUGGCUCAUACUGUCAUUUAAAAUCCCUGUAUUGUUUCAGGUGUGUCAAGUCAAGACUCAGGAACCAUCCAGCAGACUUCAUGAUAUUUCACAGUCAGCAGGUUGCACUCAACCUCAUGUAAAGAUUUUUCCAAGAACCAUCCAAGCCUGACCUGUUGAUACUUUUGGGAACCUCUUCACCAUGGUGGUAACUCUCUCGACCUGCUAC